rnacentral:rRNA from 1 species
GAUGAACGCUGGCGGCGUGCCUAAUACAUGCAAGUAGAGCGAACGGACGAGAAGCUUGCUUCUCUGAUGUUAGCGGCGGACGGGUGAGUAACACGUGGAUAACCUACCUAUAAGACUGGGAUAACUUCGGGAAACCGGAGCUAAUACCGGAUGAUAUUUUGAACCGCAUGGUUCAAAAGUGAAAGACGGUCUUGCUGUCACUUAUAGCUGGAUCCGCGCUGCAUUAGCUAGUUGGUAAGGUAACGGCUUACCAAGGCAACGAUGCAUAGCCGACCUGAGAGGGUGAUCGGCCACACUGGAACUGAGACACGGUCCAGACUCCUACGGGAGGCAGCAGUAGGGAAUCUUCCGCAAUGGGCGAAAGCCUGACGGAGCAACGCCGCGUGAGUGAUGAAGGUCUUCGGAUCGUAAAACUCUGUUAUUAGGGAAGAACAUAUGUGUAAGUAACUGUGCACAUCUUGACGGUACCUAAUCAGAAAGCCACGGCUAACUACGUG